AGAGUUUGAUCAUGGCUCAGAUUGAACGCUGGCGGCAGGCCUAACACAUGCAAGUCGAGCGGUAGCACAGAGAGCUUGCUCUCGGGUGACGAGCGGCGGACGGGUGAGUAAUGUCUGGGAAACUGCCUGAUGGAGGGGGAUAACUACUGGAAACGGUAGCUAAUACCGCAUAAUGUCGCAAGACCAAAGUGGGGGACCUUCGGGCCUCAUGCCAUCAGAUGUGCCCAGAUGGGAUUAGCUAGUAGGUGGGGUAACGGCUCACCUAGGCGACGAUCCCUAGCUGGUCUGAGAGGAUGACCAGCCACACUGGAACUGAGACACGGUCCAGACUCCUACGGGAGGCAGCAGUGGGGAAUAUUGCACAAUGGGCGCAAGCCUGAUGCAGCCAUGCCGCGUGUGUGAAGAAGGCCUUCGGGUUGUAAAGCACUUUCAGCGGGGAGGAAGGCGGUAAGGUUAAUAACCUUAUCGAUUGACGUUACCCGCAGAAGAAGCACCGGCUAACUCCGUGCCAGCAGCCGCGGUAAUACGGAGGGUGCAAGCGUUAAUCGGAAUUACUGGGCGUAAAGCGCACGCAGGCGGUCUGUCAAGUCGGAUGUGAAAUCCCCGGGCUCAACCUGGGAACUGCAUUCGAAACUGGCAGGCUAGAGUCUUGUAGAGGGGGGUAGAAUUCCAGGUGUAGCGGUGAAAUGCGUAGAGAUCUGGAGGAAUACCGGUGGCGAAGGCGGCCCCCUGGACAAAGACUGACGCUCAGGUGCGAAAGCGUGGGGAGCAAACAGGAUUAGAUACCCUGGUAGUCCACGCCGUAAACGAUGUCGAUUUGGAGGUUGUGCCCUUGAGGCGUGGCUUCCGGAGCUAACGCGUUAAAUCGACCGCCUGGGGAGUACGGCCGCAAGGUUAAAACUCAAAUGAAUUGACGGGGGCCCGCACAAGCGGUGGAGCAUGUGGUUUAAUUCGAUGCAACGCGAAGAACCUUACCUGGUCUUGACAUCCACAGAACUUUCCAGAGAUGGAUUGGUGCCUUCGGGAACUGUGAGACAGGUGCUGCAUGGCUGUCGUCAGCUCGUGUUGUGAAAUGUUGGGUUAAGUCCCGCAACGAGCGCAACCCUUAUCCUUUGUUGCCAGCGGUUCGGCCGGGAACUCAAAGGAGACUGCCAGUGAUAAACUGGAGGAAGGUGGGGAUGACGUCAAGUCAUCAUGGCCCUUACGACCAGGGCUACACACGUGCUACAAUGGCAUAUACAAAGAGAAGCGACCUCGCGAGAGCAAGCGGACCUCAUAAAGUAUGUCGUAGUCCGGAUUGGAGUCUGCAACUCGACUCCAUGAAGUCGGAAUCGCUAGUAAUCGUAGAUCAGAAUGCUACGGUGAAUACGUUCCCGGGCCUUGUACACACCGCCCGUCACACCAUGGGAGUGGGUUGCAAAAGAAGUAGGUAGCUUAACCUUCGGGAGGGCGCUUACCACUUUGUGAUUCAUGACUGGGGUGAAGUCGUAACAAGGUAACCGUAGGGGAACCUGCGGUUGGAUCACCU
rnacentral:rRNA from 1 species